rnacentral:rRNA from 1 species
AGUGAACGCUGGCGGCGUGCUUAACACAUGCAAGUCGAACGAGAACGGGUAUUAGCUUGCUAAUACUGUCAGCUAAGUGGCGCACGGGUGAGUAAUAUAUAGUUAGCCUGCCCUAGAGAAGGGGAUAACGUUUGGAAACGGACGCUAACACCCUAUAUGCCUUUAAUACAAAAGUCUGCAAGGGAAAUAUUUAUAGCUCUAGGAUCGGCCUGUACGGUAUCAGCUAGUUGGUGAGGUAAUGGCUCACCAAGGCAAUGACGCCUAACUGGUUUGAGAGGAUGAUCAGUCACACUGGAACUGAGACACGGUCCAG